UACGGAAGGUCCGAGCGUUAUCCGGAUUUAUUGGGUUUAAAGGGAGCGCAGGCGGAGAGCUAAGCCAGCCGUCAAAUCGUGGGGCUCAACCCCAUCAAGCGGUUGGAACUGGCCCCCUUGAGUGCACUAGAGGGUGGCGGAACUCGUGGUGUAGCGGUGAAAUGCAUAGAUAUCACGAAGAACCCCGAUUGCGAAGGCAGCCACCUGGGGUGUCACUGACGCUCAUGCUCGAAGGCGCGGGUAUCAAACAGG
rnacentral:rRNA from 1 species